AUCUACGAUCAGGAGCAAGUAACUCGUGGGUCACCUGCUUUUGAGGGAUACCAUCUAGUCAUAACCUGAACAAAAUGUUCAGCAGGGGUACUUGCGGUUGAUAUUGUUUACUCUGGUAACAAAACUGUCUUUAACAAAAUAUGCAUUUUGUGGCACGAAAGGUCGCAAUUCAGAUAAUGGAAAGAAAGGGGUGUAUAUCUACUUUGGGUGAUGUUAAAGUUCACCCUUUCCCAACCCUGGAAAAAAAUGUCCACGCAGAGGAAACGAUGGCGUCAUUUGUUUAGAAAACCACGAGCAGCAGAACAGUGCAGAAAAUUAGAGCGAUUAUUACAUUCCGUAAAAGCUGAACCAACACAGAAGCAUCCCUGUUCUAGCCAUUUCACCAUAUGAAAGGCGAAGAUUACAAACAGUGAUCCAAGUUUUAAGAAAGCCAAGAGGUUGAUAACAAUGACUGUACUCCUGAUGUUAACUGGAAUUAUUGACUGGUAUGCAGUAAAACAGCUGAGGGAAAGUUCAACUAUUAAUUCAUUUUCAAUUAUCAUAUUAUCAUAUCAAUUAUCAAUUUUCAUAAUAUCAAUUUCAGCCGGGUAAGAAUCAAUAUCCUUUUGUGUAUUAUACAUCUGCAAUUCUGUUCUUUUGCUGCUUCAAAUCUAGUGUAUUUGAAAUUUUAAUUCUGAUAUUUUGGUAUCAUUAUAGGUAGUCUGGCAGUAUUAUAGGUAUCUGGCAGUAAUGGCAUGACAUCAUGAGAGUUAACCAACAUGGUUAAUGAUGUAUAGAGACACUGCCUGAAGACCUCGAGGGAAAGGCAAGGAAAAUGGAUGAUCCACUUCCUAUAUCCCUGUAAAAAAGAGGAAGGAUACCACAAUAUUGAAGAUAAAUUAUUGUCAAUUCAAGAAGCAAAGUUGUGAAAAUGCAAAAACAAUAUUUAAUGUAUUUGUUAGAAAAAUAUCAUUAACUGCAUAUAUAUUUCUUGACCUUAUUCAGGAAUACAUCAGAUGUAGUCAUUCAUAUUAAAACUGAAUCUAUGAAUUUUCAUAACUUUUAUCAAUAAAGUUUACUAUAUUCAUUUUACAUGAAUCUAAUUUCCCUAAUACAUUGUACUUAUGGGAGUUUGCUUGCAUUCAAUGUUCUGACAUGAAUCCGAAAAUGUACAUAUUUCAUCACAAGAGCCCUCCUGGGCACUAAGCAUGUGUCAUGUAUAAAGCAGACUCAAACAAGAUCUACCAACAUAAUAUUUGAAUGAACACAAACGGUCUUAGAUACUCUUUCUUUUCCUCUGCAAUAUAUGGCAUUAAACAGCAUUAAUUCUUUUCUUUUUCAAUUUUGUAAAUAUAUACAAGUCAAUUAACUUUUCUCAAACUUUUGAUGCAUAUAAUGGAUUUUCUCUGUACUGCUACAUCUAUGUGCACAGAAUGGAAAUGAUGUCACUAAGAGGAAUAUACCUUAAUCAUGAGCAGAUAUAUUUUGUUCAAUGAUAACAAUUUGACCAAUGAUCACAAAUACUCAUGACAUUGGAAUUAUGAAAAGUCAUUGUAAUGCAUGUAUCACUUUCAUACUAAAAAUUCUUGAAAGACUUGUGACGCAAGUAUUAGUUGAUAAAUAAUAAUUUUCAAAUAUUGAUGUUUAAAUUAGGGAGGAUAUCAUUUAUAACUUAGUAGAUAUGAUAUUAAAUUAUUCUCACCCAUAUAA